GCUAUGGGUUAUGAUUAUGGUGGAGGGGUUUUGAGGAUGUGGGAAGGAGAGCUUUUUUGUGAUUGUCUGGAGGACCGUCGAAUUGCUGUUCAAUCUGUUUGCUGCCCCUGGUACAGAUUUGGAAAGAAUAUGAAGCGUUCUGGUUUCGGUUCCUGCUUUCUUCAGGGCUCUAUUUAUUUCAUCCUCACUCUUGUUGCUCUCCUAAGCAUUCUGGC
rnacentral:misc_RNA from 1 species